ensembl:lncRNA
CCUGAUUGGGCAGUCUUCCUGUCUGUGCAAUUACUUGCAAACAUACAGACCAUGCGUGCAUGAAGGCUUGCGGGAUCCAGCUUAGCUCUCUUUAAGAAAUUCCACUUUCACACACACAUCAGAUUUUCUGCCACAAGAUGCUAUUGUAUGCAUCCUAAAAAUUGCUAUUUAAGAUACAAAACUUGAUAAUUCCUGGUAAGGUCAAUGAGAAUUGCUGAUGCUUAAUUUCUCAUAGAGAGGUACCAAAGCAAGGUAUUUUCUGUGUAGCUGAACCCCAUUAGUAUUACGGAGAUAAUGGCAUGUGCACUGGAAGGAAAAUAGCCGGCUCAAAGAUGAGAGGAGACCACAUUUUUACGUAAUCAGCAGUUCAGCUAUUGAUUUUUUUUAAAGUAAGGCUUCAGCUGAAACCUUUCAGCAGGUGCUGUAACACAGAGCUUCGGGCAGAAGCUGAAUUUCAGGAAAUCAGAUGGAAUCUUAAUUCUACCUUAGAUUUCUGGCUGACCAUUUGUGGACUGCUAAGCACUGUUUCAAGUGACUUGAACCUGAAUUGCAGAUAGUGAACAGAUCACAAAUGGCAAAUGUCAUUUUUUUUAAACAACUCUGGCUGCUAUUUUAUCUGGAAAUCUUUUUUUUUUUAAGAUUCCAGCUUCAUCUGGUUGGGUCAACUCAAAUGCAAUUAAAUUCAAGAGAGCUAAACUCCAUUUUUAGUGUUCACAUCAAUUAGUAGAUCAAGUUAAAGACAGGUAGACACAUCUAGGAGCUUAUUUUGAUCUGCAAACUCAUGUCAAGGUUGCAGACUGUCUGGACUCGAGUGUUACUUUGUUAUUUAACUUGACUUCAUAACUCAAAGUGAAAACUUAAGUCUCAUUCUUGCAAAUACAAGAGACUAUUGUUGCUGAUCUCCACCCUCUAGAGUCUGAUAUCCCUCAGUCAACAGGGUUGAAAUUCUGGCCUUGCUGAAAUUGAUGACAAAACUAUUAACAUCCAUGGGGCCAGAAUGUAACUUGAAGAAUCUUUCUCAAACCAGAAAAGUCCUUCUAUGUUCAAGAAACUUUUAGACUGUGACCAGCUAUGUGGCAGACUUCUGUUAACUCUGGGGUGAUUUACAGCAACAAAAAUGUCUGCAAGAUGCGCUUUGCUGAAGCGUGCAGCAGGAGUGCUCAGCAUGCAGGAGUGCCAUUCAUUGUAGUCAGACACACUCUUUGAAAUCAUAUGCUCCCAGCAGAUUAGUAAGAGUUUUAAUCUCAAAAGACAAAUCUGCCCCACCAUUGAAUUCAUGGAGAGCUGCAUUCCUCACGCAUGAGUAUAUGAAAACCUUGUUGUCCCGGCUGCACUGCUAAGGACUUCACAGGGCAAUGUGUGUGUCCUCCUCACAAAGACAUUGUGCCAAACCAGAGCUUUCAUUUUUUCUCAAUUCAGAAUAAAAUUAUCAGGGUUUUGGUCCUGCACAGGCACACUUGUCCAGCAAGAGUAGACAAGAACCAGAAAUUUUUAGGAGCAGAAAGUGGCAACGGCAGAUAAUCACUGUUGAGAUAAAAAUUCUCAGCAACGCUCAACUCGCAGGAGAAUAAACUGGAAGUUUUGAUAAACAGCCCUCGCUCUGCUUUGAUGCCUGCCCACACAAAGCCACUGUUUUCUGUAAAACAUUUUGCCCUUGUUUGCUUCUAAUGUAAAUUUGAGGUCACUUGGUAGAAAUGCAACACCAUAGGGAGAUAUGAACACUCAUGGAAUUAGUGAAUGCUUGAAAAGGUAAAAUUCCUAUCCUUGCUGUAGUGAUUAUGAAUACCAGAUUUUUUGUCGUGUUUUUCUCUCUCCAUCUCUCUCUUUUUUUGUUGUAUAUAUAGCCAGUGAUAUUAAUGGCACUCUCGUGUCAGACUUAUUUUUCUAAAUGAAUACUAAGAAUGUUUAAGAGUUCACAUAAUCCAUCUCUAGAAAGGAUAUUUAGCUAAUCUUUCUCAUUUAAUAUACACACAAAAAACUAGACAGGUUUUCACCCAUAAACCUCUGUGGCAUAAAAUGAACAACAGCAACUUUGCCAGCAGUCCAUUUUUAUAAAUAUUCUGCUCAAACAUUUUAGACACGUUCUUUUUCUGGAACUUUAAUAUUCUGGAGGUGAUAAGCUUACACCUUGGAAGCAGCUGACAGUUUGUAAACUCAAGUGAUGAUGACUGCAGAAGCCAAAAUAUUUCUUGUCGUAAUACAUCAGGUCAACUCAUAAGAUGAUCUUGUUUGUUUGCAUUUCAAUGAGUUGCUAGUUGAGUGAUUUACACCAGCUGUUUCAAAAAGCAGGAUACAAGCGAUGUCCCGUGUAAUGAUGAGCUGAUGCUGGUUAAAACAUGGCCUUAGUGAUACGUGCUUAUUUGCUCACUUCUUCCACUUUUAUUUUGGUGGAAAGAUGUUCAGUUAAUUUUUUUUCUUUUGGUUUCUUUAUGAUUCUUCUCUUGCUGGCUUGGCCCAGUGCAAAGAACAUAGUUCAUAAGAGUAUAUAGAAAGAGCUAUUUUUGUGGUAUUACUGCCCUGCUAGCCCUAAUUAUCAUUAUGUCUCUUGAGAAAUAAGUGGUUCUAAUAGUCCUGGGCUUUUCCUAUCCAUGCUGCUUCUUCAGAAGAUAAUUGCUGUCUAUUUCAAACCUUUUCCCUGGCAGAGUAAGGAACGGUCAUGUCCUGUCUCCUCUCUUGCCUCUCUCCCCACCAUGCAUUAAUUUCUCUACAAAAAAUCUAAUAUAGCUCAUCUCUGCUUCUCACUGCAGGCUUCCCUGGCAACAACAACAGCUGAAAAACUUGUGUUUUCCUUUUUUAUAUACAUUUGCAGAUCUGUGAUAAGAAACAACAAAGUCAAAGGGUUCGAAAGUAAAAGUAUAGAAUGAAUUAGAUGUAAAUCUAUCCAAUAGCAAUGGUAUUUCAAAGAGUGUGUCUCAGCACUGCUUGCUGCCAGGCAGUUCAGAGAGAGCAGGAGAAUACCUACGCAUUUGGGCUCUCACGCUCUUUGACCUCCGACUACAGUCUAUCAAGUAUUUUAAAGCACUUAUUAUACCUCUAGUUAUAUUUCCAUAAAAUAUAGAAAUAUUUUCUUUGGGAAGACCAAAGCCUUAUAAACACACCGGGAAGAGCAACGUACAGCAAACAAUAACACAUAUGCUCUGAUCCUUCACUUGUUCCGUCCUGGUCCUCAGCAAGUCCUACAGUUGUGUGACAGAAAGGAGCACUCACGUCGCACAGGGAGGAAACAGCUGGUCUCUGGAUUUCCAGCGGGUAAACACAUAUGUCUUGAAUUAUUGUUCUGGAGCACAUGGGACGUGGAAAAAGAGCCUGGAUUUGUCCCCGAGCAUGGGAUCUACUACGACCUCCUGGUAUGAAGAAUCUAAACUUGUAGCCAGAACAUUUGAUGUUUUCCAUCACUGUGGCUGAUGCAGAUGUAUUCUUUGCUCUUUAAUGAACCCCAUAAAAAGUCAUUUGAGUCCUAGAUGUUUACUUUGUCUUGAUAAAAAAUAAGCAAGCAAUGCACACACAAAUGAAAUGGGCCAUUUAAAUGGGAUGGAAGUUAAAAGCAGCAGUACGUCUGCAUCAUCUGAAAAACAGGGAAAUUCAGAUCAGAGUAUAAAUGUUAUGACUUAGACUCUUCUUUCAGAUAAAUAAUGCAUUUAGCAGCUGUGUUCAUUUUUGUACUUGUCCACAUGGAUUGCAAGUUUAGGGUGCUGAAUUAUUUGAUUAACACACAGAUGGUAAACAUGAAUAAGAGUAUGCAAUAAAAUCUUACCGUAAAUGUAAAACGCCCUUAAAAAUCCUAGUAAAGCUGUAUGCAGAUUCAGAACUGAUGUAUUAUUAUGUCUGACCAACAAAGGGCAAGCAAAUCCAGGCAUCGGAAAUAAAAUAAAACAAGCAGAGUCUCAGAGUUACAAAUUUGUAUGUUAUGACAUAUGCAAAGGAUGUAUAUUAUAUUUCAGCAUGUGUAAUACCUUAACACUGCCUCCACAGUAUUGCUGCUGCCAAGUUUGUUCUGAGCCAAAAUAUCUACAGAUAGAAACAGAAAUACUGUAUACAUAGACAAAGGCAUUGAUAUCUGGAAGAUGAAGCAAAAUGCUUCAAGAAAAGCCAAGUCAAAGAUACUGUAUGUUUUGAACAGAAUUAUCCAGUACCUUGAUAAAAUAAGAGCAAGCUGGAUAGAUGAAGAUAUGACCCAGUAAGGAAGCAUUAUUCUUAACACCAGUAAUGUGUAGAGCUUUCUAAAGGCAAAGCUGAGAUAAUACACACAUUUUCAAAAGCAUUUCAGGAGUUUUUGAAAAUUGUGUCCUGGAUAGUCAGAAUGUAUCCCUUCCAUUACAGAUAAAGAAAAAAAAAAAUCCAUCAGUUUGAAGAUUUGUAUCCUGACACAAGGAUUUGUAUUCUGGCCAUCCAUUAGUCUUAGCCUAUCUGGUUCAUCCCAUUUGCAGAACCUACAAUUUUGUGGACUCUGAUGUGCUCUUUCUGAUAGACAGACACAGAAGGGUAACCCGGAGGUGCAGGCAUCUACUUAUACGCCGUAUGGAUGCAUUUUGAUAAUAACCACACGAGGGCAGAAAAGAACAGACAUCUGCGGACAGCCAGACGGCAGCCUGAUUUAAGAGAAGCGUCAAGUUCUGAUAUUUUUGUAAGGGAUUUUCUAUAUUUAUCCAUUCAAACGCACACACAUCUGGAAUUAUUUAAAUAUAAAUAUAUCGAUAGAACACAUGUACACAGUGAAUAUAUAUUUAUAGUGUGCAUUUGUAAAUAUGUAUUUCUGGCAAGUAUGAGGAAAAUCGGUUUGGUUUUAAUUUUGGAUUGGCCUCAGUAAGGAUCUGAGAAUAACAGAGGCAUAAAAACAACUGAACCAUAUUUCCCUCUCAUUAACAUAAGCUGACAGUGCUUUCUUCAGUCUUUACUACUGUACAGGUAGGAGGCUGCGAUUAAGCAAGACAAGGAUCAAACUCUGAAAUGGGGAGACCCAUACAAUCAUAAGGGUUUCCAUGAUCAGGGACACCCCCAUUUUACGAGCUUCAGAUGUCCUGUACUGAGCAACUGGAAGAAGCGAGUUUUGGUCAUAUAAAGCACAAGUCAAAAAAACGAACUUUGUUAUUACUAAUCUACACAGUUACACUGAAUACAUGGUGCAUACCAGUAUUUAAAAUCUCCCAGCCUCACUAAAUCAAAGUGAUCUCAGAUAUGCAAUACAUUUUUAUAGGCAGCCUUGUAAAAAUUAUUCGUCAUGCUUGUAUGUCUGGAAUGUGUCAACAACACUGCAGGCACUGAACCAGCUGAUAGUAAUUACUGGGGGGGGGGGGGGGGGGGGGAGAAGAAAAGAAAAAGAAUUAGGAGCAAAAUUAACAACUGAAUUAUAUGAGGAAAAUUAAAAGAAGCUUAAUUGAGCAGAAGACCGAAAGCCACUUCCCCAGAAAUCCUAUCCCAGCUUACCAUCUUAUUCCUUGUACAGUGCCAAAUAAACCUAACGUUUCUGUUUCUCGUUGUUUCGAGGAUUAAUUAGUGGCACAACAAUUGGGAAACAAAUAAAAUAACAGAAAAUGCAAAGCAUUGUUAUCAUGAGCUUGAAGGUCCCUGAUCUGAUGUGGGUGCACAAGUGGAUGGCCUCUGCAUUGCGAACUACAUAGAAGCAAUACUUUAAAGGUGGUUGAUUUCUGCUUACCAUUACAUACUUAAAAUGAGGAGAAAAUAAUUGUAAUUAAAGUUUAAAUUAUGUUAUGAUGAAAUUCAAGACACAACUUGUGCUGGUUAAGCACCUCCUACCUUCUAUUGCUCUGUGGGGCACACUUCAUAGCUCGUUACUGAAGGGCAGCUGCAACACAAACAGCAAGAGCCCACCAGUGCUACAGAUGCUGCAGUACCUGUGAGUAACAACAGCUCGAUCACCACAAAUACUUAAUUACACAACUGAAGGAGAGAGAACAUGGUGCAAAUAUCAGCAACCUGAUGCUAAGCUGUGUUUUCUUUAGUGCUUAUUGCAAGCGAGAGUAACACAAUAUGUCGGUGCUCAUUGGGCUGAGGGUCUGAGCCUCCGGCCUGGAUGACACAUUGCAGUACAGCACCCAGUACCUCUCCUCAUCCCCUGGUUUAAGCAUGAUGGGGACCAACAUUUCACACAGUCUAAUAGUGACAGGAUACAUGAGAAUGGCUUUAAACUGAAAGAGGGGAAUCUUAAGUUACAUGUUCAGGAGUUUUUUACUCAGAGGGAGGUGAGGCCCUGGCAUAGGCUGUCCAGAGAAGCUGCAGCUGCCCCAUCCCUGCAGGCAUUCAGAGGCCAGGCCAGAUGGAGUCCUGAGCAGCCUGGUCUGCUGGGGCAGCCCUGCCCACAGCAUGGAGUUGGGACUGGAUGGUCUUUAAGGUCCCUUCCAACCCAAGCCAUUGUGGGAUUCUGCAGGGAGAAAAGCAGCACUCCUGGCAUGCCCCAGUGACACCCAGAAUGGGGCACUGGGAUUGCAGGGGGUGCCCUCAGAUGUCUGCACACAGAACCUAGAUGUAGCCUGCACUACUCAAAGCAAUCCAGUAGUUUGCUUUUCCCUUUUUUUUUCUUUUUUCCUCCAUGGUUAGCUGCUCAGAAGAAAUAGAGCUGAAGCAUGGUUUGUGCCAGCUUUGCUGGAGACAAGCAGCCCUGUGCAAGAGAAGCAUUUCUUUCUCUCCCUCUUAUAUUCUGCACUCACUUAAGGAGCAAACAUACAUACAUCAGUAUUGGGAACUUGUGUCUCAAGUGUUGACUUCUUUCUGAGCUCCUGACCUCACCUGGAGAGGAGGGAGUUGAGAACCACAGCAGAACACUGAACCUGCCAGGACCCAAAUAGCCUUUAAGGGAAAGUAAGGGGAAACAACAAGAAGAGAUUUGAAGAAGUGCCUGUGAUCAAUCACCACACAGCCACUGUCUAAGUUGAUCUCUCACAAACGCACUGAAGCUCUUAAUGACUGUAUUGAUAUAAACAUAGCUGCUUCAUUAUGAAAUAAUAAUAAUAAUAAAAAUAAAUACUAAUUUUCAAAUUUUUUUAAAAAGAAUCUGGUUCUCUAAUCACCUGAGGGGAGAAAACUACAUAAUUUAGAUGUAUGACAUUUGCCCUUCCCACCAUCCAGUAACAACUACCUGUGGCAACAUUGGCAAACUCAUUACAGCUGCUCUUGUCUGUAGGUGGACCAUUUUUUCUGGAAGUUGGUCAGCAGGGUUGAAUUGCUUUGAUUUUAUGCAGCAAAAGAUGGUCAGUAACAAAGUCUGUACCAAACUCCAGCAUCACCUGAGAUUUUAAUGACUUUAAUGGCCAAAAUAUUGGUUUGCAACCUAAGAGCUCUUGCUAAAAUGUAAUUGUAAUGUGUAGCCUUAAAAAUAUUAUUAAAAAAAAAAAACAACCAACAACAGCACAGGAUAAUGGUAAUCUUGACACUGGAAAAGUACUUUAAUUCACAAAGGAAACAUACAGAAACCUAUUUUGUUGGUUAAGCAGAAUCAUAUCCACAUGCGAUUCGGAAGGUAUUGGAAAGCUUGGUGAAGAAUUGUACUAAUUUCGGAGUUAAUCAAUUGCACAGUGCUGGGACAGACUGCAGCUGGGGAGGCCUCGACAGUGGCAAUGGGAGGCAGAAAUGCUAAAGUGAGGGGAUGACUGAGCAGGCAAAAGGAGUUGAUUUAUAAGUCUGAUUUAACUUUUGUGCCUGGAGACAUAUCACAAGGGGUAGAAGAUUAAUUUGUCUUUUAAAUGAAUUUUAAAUAGUUAAUUUGUCCAUAAAACAAAGCAUGCUUUGAUUUAGAAUAUAUUUCUCCAUUGUUUGCCUUUGUUCAAAAAAUAGCCAUAUUUCUGAUGGCUAUCAGUACAACAAUAUUCUUAGUAAAAAUGCCAGUCAGAAUUCAUUAGUAGGUCAUAUGAAUAUAUCGUGCACAUCAAGGAAAAUAAUAGAAAAAUAACCAGGAUAUAAGUGGUUUUCUGCAAUUUGAUGGCAGCAGUCACACUUAACAUGUACAGCUGCUGCUUUGCUGCUACCAUGGGAUGUGGUUGUUGCUUCCCUUCCGAUGGCACAAGUUUAAAGCAAGCAUACACUACCACUGAUCAAAACAUUAAGUUUGACAGCUCCUGUAAGGACGCCCUGCCAGAGCUUGUCAUUAACAGGGGAAGAUACUCUGAGGCACUGACUAACAGGACAAACAUGGAAAACAAAGGCUACAAGCAUUAUGCACAGCUAUUGCAGUGAUGCUUCAACACGAUUUAUCUAUCUGCUAAAGCAGGCAUUUUUCUGACAUUAAUAUCUGGACUGACAUUCAGACUAAGUUGUCUUCUAUCUUUUCAGUGAAAUAUUUAACAGCUUUAGCUGCUUGCACUGUUUCUUUUACUAAAAAUGCUGUUAUUCAAAUUUGAUAGGAUUGUAUAGCCUUUCUGUCUUUUACGUGCUACUAUUUUCUUCUGUAAUAAAUUCAAAUCUGUUUUAGAGGAAACUGCUUUUUGUUUGAAACUGGUGAGUUUAAAAUAAAUAUUCUGUGAAACAGUUUCCAUCCACGAUGAUCCCGAACACCUCCUGCUCACACUCUUGCUAUGUAUUAUCUUGCUAAUGAUAGGAAUAAAU